CCUACGGGUGGCAGCAGUGGGGGAUAUUGCACAAUGGGGGGAACCCUGAUGCAGCGACGCCGCGUGGGUGAAGAAGCGCCUCGGCGCGUAAAGCCCUGUCAGCAGGGAAGAAAAUGACGGUACCUGACCAAGAAGCCCCGGCUAACUACGUGCCAGCAGCCGCGGUAAUAUGGAGGGGGCAAGCGUUAUCCGGAUUUACGGGGUGUAAAGGGAGCGUAGACGGCAUGGCAAGGCUGGAGUGAAAGCCCGUGGCCCAACCACGGGACUGCAUUGGAAACUGGGUUGCUGGAGUGCAGUAGGGGUAAGCGGAAUUCCUGGUGUAGCGGUGAAAUGCGUAGAUAUUAGGAGGAACACCGAUGGCGAAGGCAGCUUACUGGACUGUAACUGACGUUGAGGCUCGAAGGCGUGGGGAGCAAACAGGAUUAGAUACCCGAGUAGUC
rnacentral:rRNA from 1 species